rnacentral:lncRNA from 1 species
UUUACAGAAUCUGUUCACCAAUGACUUUGACUUUUAUUUCUCACUGUUCUUUCCAACUUUAAGGGGAAAGCCUCUUCCCCGGGAUGACUGUGACAUUGCUGGGAUUUUCUACUUAGUGGACGGAAGUCACAUUAAGUUACAGAACUAUGGUUAGCCACUUAAACUCCCUGGUUUCGUGCAAAGGCCUGGCUUACUUUACUGGAAAACAUAUUUCUCCUUUCCCUGACUAGGGCAACAUGGGCAGCAUACAGCAGGGGAGAGGAAGCCCACUUCUUCUACUCCCUAACUGCGGGCCCUGAAUAAAACAUAAACACCAGGGAACACGUUGAUGCAACUGAGAAGUAUAAAAGUUGGAAGUCAGAAGAGUCAGUGAGAGUCCCUCUCAGACAAGCCAAGGUGAAAAGACCACUCAAGACCAGACAAGCUGCCUGGAAGAUGUUUAGACCUACUGAGGCAUAUGGAAAGGAUACUCUGCAACUUGUUGAUCUGAUUACAGGCUGUGCAGUGUGCUCCAGGCUCCCUGCUUUUGUGAGCUGUCAACCAUGCUGGGGUGGGCUUUGGUGAUGCAGCUGUCUCUGAAUUAUUUCUGCUUCUACAAGUAAUCUCUCACCUAUAUUACUCUAAG